rnacentral:rRNA from 1 species
GAUGAACGCUGGCGGCGUGCCUAACACAUGCAAGUCGAACGGAGAUUACGGACGGAAGUUUUCGGAUGGAAGCCUGUAAUUCUUAGUGGCGGACGGGUGAGUAACGCGUGGGCAACCUGCCCUAUACAGGGGGAUAGCAGCUGGAAACGGCUGGUAAGACCGCAUAAGUCGGUUAAAUCGCAUGAUUUGAUCGGGAAAUGAGCAAUCAGGUAUAGGAUGGGCCCGCGUCCGAUUAGCCAGUUGGCAGGGUAAAAGCCUACCAAAGCGACGAUCGGUAGCCGGACUGAGAGGUCGGACGGCCACAUUGGGACUGAGACACGGCCCAAACUCCUACGGGAGGCAGCAGUGGGGGAUAUUGCACAAUGGAGGAAACUCUGAUGCAGCGACGCCGCGUGAGUGAAGAAGUAUUGCGGUAUGUAAAGCUCUAUCAGCAGGGAAGAUGAUGACGGUACCUGACUAAGAAGCCCCGGCUAACUACG